UGUGACUGGAGUCCGCGUAGGAGGGGUCGGAGGUCUUACCCAACAGAUUGACGCGGCGUUAGUAUUGGCCGUGUACCCGAAAAACUGAUUGACUGGGCUGGCGUUAACUGUGCGGAGGCAGUUGGCCGUGUUUACAUCAGAGAGAAGACCCCUCCUCGUCCUCAAGGACAGAGGCCAGAGCCGGAGAAUAGAGGGGUGAGGAACAUUCUAGGAGAAGCUUCUACAAAUGAGCUGAUGGCUUUAGAAGUUUCCUUCUUAGCCUUACAAUUUUUCUCCUUGAUUAUAAAAGUAAAGGAAAACUUGUAAAAUACAGAAAGGAAAAGAGGGGGAAAAAAAUCACUUAUAACCACACCAAUCCAGAGGGAUUUCAAGGAUUUGGAUUUGGAGAUGGUGGCUUCCAGAUGUCUUUUGGAAUUGGGGCAUUUCCCUUUGGGAUAUUUGCCACAGCAUUUAAUAUAAAUGAUGGGCGGCCUCCUCCAGCUGUCCCUGGGACACCCCAGUAUGUGGACGAGCAGUUCCUGUCACGCCUCUUCCUAUUUGUGGCCCUGGUGAUCAUGUUCUGG
rnacentral:lncRNA from 10 species